GGUAUAAAAUACCCCACCAAGUUAUGCCCGUGUCCUGUUCCGUCGUAAGUCUCCGAACGGUGAGGAUGGGAUCUCACUCGUGACCGAAACCACCCGAUACGCAGUCAUAGCAGCGACAUUCGCGAGCUAGAUACAGUCUUACCGUUUGAGAUGGCUGCAGAAGCUGCUCAAGAGAAACUAUUCUGGGAGAACUUUGGGAAACUAUGAAAAUAUGGAAUGUUCCUGUGACAUAUAACUACCAGGAUGAAUCAUCAAGCACACUGGCUCUGAUGGGCUGCUUGACUUUCAUCAGUUUGGUUCGUAAAGCUGUAUCGAAACCAAAAAAUUCUCGUCAUUUAGGUUAGGUUUUUCCAAUUCUUGGUAAGUUAACUGAUAGUUAAAUCAUAUGUCUAUCUUUGUUUAAAUUGAAAAAAAAACAAAGACAAACAUAAUUUAACUAUAAUUUAACUAUUUAACUAUUACCAAGAAGUUAGAACAAUCAACCCUUAGAGUAACAUAUUUUAACUAUACAAUACCCUGAAAGUACAAAGAAUCAAGAACAGGUUUUAAUACUUAAAUACUCCAUAUAUAUAGUUCUAGUCUUUUAUAGCUCUUUUUCACAAAUGUUUCAUAACACAUCAAUGAAGUUACCUGAUUAUAAUAAUAGUAUUACAUAAAAAAAGUGAUAAUAGUUCCUAUAUUGUUGUAACACUUAACUUUGUUAAAUCCUGAACAGUACAACUUAUUGAGAAGUUGAUGUAAGUGUUACUCAUUGCUAGUUUUAUAUCGAAACACAUUUUUUACUUAGUGAAUGUAUUAUAAAAAAUUUAUAUAUAAUUUUUCAAGAUCUUUAAUGUGUUUCGUGUUUUUAUCAUUGAUAGGGAUCUUAUGGCAUUUUAUGCUAUUUAGGAUUAAAGCAAUUGAAUGAUCUCUAUGCAAAAAUAUUGUGAUAUUAAUAAAUAAUUCCUUUGUAAGUAAAGACUGAUCUAGGUCUAGAUAAGGAAGGAAACUGUUGAAAGAUGAAUGUAAGACAAAUAAAUACAUUUUGCAAAUGAACUAACGAAGUAAGGUCAUUUUUUCAUAACUUCUCUAUUCACCAGGUUAUUAAUACCAUCACUCCUUUUCAGUCUGGCACAUUCUCUAGAAAAUACGUCUUAUUGCGAGCGAGAGCUAUUGGCCACCAAUGGGGGCGACGUCGUCGUCAACUUAGAAAACUUGUACCUAUAAGAUUGCGGUGAGAUAGAAAGCGAGAGGUAGAGGAUUACGAAAAGAUAAAACGACUGAGGGAGUAUUAUAUCAUGUGUGAAUGGAAAGGGGCACGAAAGGGAGGGAAAAUAUCUGUUUCUAGAGGCUGGUUCAACCGGCGUGCAGGCAAAAUGCAAGCAAAUAUCUCACGCACAAGCCGUCAUGAUAACCGUGUGACAAUGAGAGAGGCGUCUUUCAUCUGGUGAGCUUCUACAUUUCCACUUUAGCCGAACCAGCUGCGUGUUUUCCCAGAUCCAGAACCGUUGGUUUCUGUCCGGCAUAACGCGCGUCUCCGGGGAUCAAGUCUCCGUGGUUCCCGUUAUCCCCGAGAGUCGUAGGUACGCCUCAAGUAAGAUAAUUCGCUAUGCAAGCAUGUAAACAACUUGCUGAAGAGAGUCACUGAAAUUUCAUCCUAUCCGAUGUGAAAUAUGUUGUACCACCAUAUAUGUUGCCCGGCGUUGCCAUAACCGUGUGUCCAUAGAUCUGCGAUCUCUACCACGUCCACCAUGGAGAGAAAGAAAAAGAAAGAUAAAGAUCACGGCCAGGAUAGGGCGUUAACGUAUAUGUUUUAGAUGUUUGAAGAGCAUGAGGGAAACGUUUGUGAUGUAUGUCAGAGACUGAGGAAAUGGACAAUGCAGAAAUCGGUACAAGAAGGGAGAGAAAGAGGUAGAAUGGUAUGAGUGCACGUGCAAGCACAUUGGGUGCGAGAGAAAACAGAUGUUAGGGUUGCCUCGACUUGGUAACACUCAUUUCAACCUAAGACUUGAGUUUUAUUUAGUUUCUAAUUGAUACACUUUAAUACAAUGUUUCUAAAAUUUUGUCGAAUUUCUCGAUCGCGAGGUGUCUAAAGACUCGAGGAUUCAAGAGUCCGGGGAUUCGAGAGACUUUAAUCCAGGGGCUCUAAGGAUUUUCCGCAUGCCCGCGUCCAGGACUCUGGACCACGCCAAGCUUUCGGCAAUUCGAAGGCACCUCGAAGUCCAAGGAUCUCGGAAUCUAAGAUCUUGGUAUCUAUUGGUCUCGGUAUUGUCACGUGAAUCCGAAUCGAGGGAUCUACUGCGAAAGAGAAUAUAACAAGAUGAAAGUAUGCAGAGAGAGAGAGAGAGAGAGUAGGAAUUAUUAUCUAACAUACACAUGUGUGUGUGUGUAUGUGUGUGUGUGUGUGAGGAAGGAUACGAAGAACAAAAGGAGCAAGUUGCUUGCGAGUAUUCGUUGAUGCGCUGAUCGUUUUCCAUUCGAUAACUCGGACGAUAAGUAUAUUCAUACGUGUACUGUGUGGACUGAUAUUGCUAUUUAGCAACCUAUAUACGUGCACUGAUGCUCGAUUGCUUGACGCAUAAUUGUGGAUGACACUCGCUGAACAAGACAACGACCUCGGUUUGGUAACGAAAUAUCAGGCAUAUUAUGGUAACCUUGACACAUUAAUAUGUUCUUGGUAAUAUACUGGGCAGUUCUCCUUAUGGGCAGAAUGGGAGGGAUGAGGGGAGGGGGGUUUACAAAUGAGACAAAUCUUUUUGGCUACAGAACGUUGCGUAAGUCUGGAGGAUCUCUCGUCCGACUCAACCGAUGACGGCUAGCGAAGAAUGCAGUUUGAGUCACUCGAGAUUUUAUCUCAUAUCGACCCGAUAUCGCUCGAAAACCUCGAAGAGAGGAAGAGAAAGGGAGAUUAUGAAACACAUUCUAUUCUAACGAAGAGAUAAUGCGGUCUGUCGAACGUGGACAUCUCGAAGAGACUUGGCUUCAUAAAUGGCUUGAGAGACAAAGUUUUUUUCUACACAAUUUUCUACAAAUUUAUCUGUGUGCUAGCGUAACCAGCUAUCGUUCCUCUUGUGCUAUAAUCAUAAUUCGUACUUAACUAUGUUUAUAUAUUGCGGAUUGCUCUGUUCCGUACUUUUUGUGUUUCACACAGCAGGCGCCAGAACGAAAGAGCUAAAACUCCCCCUUGGUAGAUUAAAGAAACGGCACCGAGACAUCUCUUCACUCGUACAUCUAGCCGACAAACUGUAUAAGGCUAUAAACAUUAUUCGGUCAUCACCGGGAGCACAUGCAGUGUAUGCACAUAUCCGGGCAUCUUGGAGUGUGUCGCGUGAAAAAAACGCCGGAGGUAACGAGAAACGAGAAAAGAUCGUCGACGAUCCCCGUGGUCCGUGUAUUCUGAAGUAGGUAGCAUUUAGAAGGGGCUUCGGGAUGGGGCAAAACAAUGUUCUUAUGAGUCACAGGAUGACACAACGGCACUUCGCAUGAUGACAAUGGGGGAAAACGUGCUUGGAAGGCUUUUCCCGCUUCAAGAUAAAUCGAGGAGACCGUUAGAGAUAACAGUUGAGAUAAUCGCUUUGCACUCGGUGAGAGAUCGGUUUAGCCCUGACGAGAUGUACCUUCAUCACAAUCUGUAAAACAAGCACAGAAAUUCCAUGAGGAUGCGUUAAAUCCAAACAUCUGAACUAUGAGGACCACAGAAUCCAAAAAAUAGGUUACAUUUGAAGGAUCUAAUCACCCCCCCCCGAGAACCAGAAAUUCAAGACUUCUAAUUCAAAGGAAUCCGAGUCUCUCAGGAUUCAAGGAUCUAAUUAUUCAAGUGUCUCUAUGAGACCUUCUCUUCCGUCCGACCACACGAUUUCUUUAGAUAAAUGCUCUUCCUUUCAGAUUACAUUUCAAAAUUUCAUCGGAAAUUCAGUCGGAAUUAUCUUAUCGAGACGAUCCGCGUGAUACAUUCGAAAAUAUCUUUGUUUCGUAAAGAAGAUAAUAACUGGUGUGUAUUUCACACGAUGAAGAGCAAUUUUAUAUCGAGACGACAUCUGAAAACGUGUCAAACGACAAAUUCAUUCCAACGAUAAAUGACGAUUUAUUGAAAUCUUCACGCUCGAGGAAAGGAGAAUCAUUACUAUACCGCAUAAAAGUGUUUCUCUAGAAGGUAUCCGAUUUUAGAAGGUAUUGAAAAAGAGAGGUAUAUCAUUUUAUUCACUACAAUCUAUCGGGUAACAUACUCAUUUACAGGUCCAUUUAUCAUGUUUGGGGAUGUACCGGGAGGGAGCGGGAAAACAAAAAUCAUUUUAUUUUUUUUCACAGAAAGCUGUUAUUUGAAAGCAGUAUUCGUUUUCGCGUCCGGAGUGCGUUCUAUCUUCACAGAAUAAGUAGCACAGUUUGAUCGUUGAAGAUGAUGUUCCUCAGUGUGAUAUCAUGUCUCUAAAUGGCCACGACCAUAAAAUGACAAGUGUACAAUGGGUUGACCAGAUGGACUUGGCUUACUUCAGCGGCAAAGAAAGCAACAAGUUCCUAAAAAUUUCAAUUACGAGAUCUUUGCGGGAAAUGUGUUCGUGAACAUUAAGAGCUUCAGAAGCGAGUUAUCAAUAUAUCAGGGUACGAUAAAAACCUAAUAGGAGAAUCAUCGACCUGUAAGUCUCUCUGUAAGAACUCAGAUAAGCACCUUUUGAGGGAGGGAAAUUGCGGCGUUAUGAGGGGGCGGGGAGGGCACUAAUCCUGCAGGAUAUUCGAAGCGUUUCAGUGUCCGGAACCCUUUUAUCCGAGGAUCGCUAGCCUCACCUUAAAAAGCGGGUUCGCGCGGAAUCCUAGAAGCCUUGCAUAUGAGCGAUCGACCUCGGGGACGUGCGCUUCCUUCCAUCCGCUCGUCGACAAGGUCGCGGGCAACCUUUCGAACUUUUUGUCGAUAUUCCGAAGCGACCGUCCACGACGGAGAGAGGCACGUGAGUUUACCCGCCUCUCUAUCACCUUGCCCGCUAACGGAGUGUUUUAGAACGGCGUGAAACGGCCGUUGAGCUUGUGCGUCACCGUGAUUCUACAAACUACUCGUCGCUGGUCUUCCAACACCCGCUCGACUGCGCGUGCAGUCGUCCUGGUCGUUUGGUCCUUCAUCUACUUUCGUUGGUCUCCUUCGAGCCCUUCAAGAUCUUCCAUUGGCAUGCAAGUUGUCUGCGUUGUAUGCAGUUUGCUGUCAGCCGGAGAGAGUGUUUUUUCAUGGAACAGGAUUACGAACAACCGAUACUUUUCAAUAGGGCCGUCGCAGAGAAUGCAGAGUUCCAGCAAAACAGCAUAUUUUUACUUCCAAAAAGAAUUAUUGCCCUAGACAUCAUUUGCACGGAAAAUCAUCUAUCAUAUUUCAUAAGUGUCGCGUUAGAAAAUACCGGAUUUGGAAGAAAUAUUAUCUAAGGACCGCAGCUGAUCAUCGAGGGACAUCGUCGCAGAAGAGAAUCAUGGGAUCGCCGCAGAAGAGGAUCUUCCUGGAAUCUUGCUGUAGGAGUGGAUCGCCGUGGGACUUUGUUACAGAAGAAAAUCAUUGGAUAACUUUAUUAUAUUAUAUAGAAGAGGAUCGUUUUGAUUCGGCUUCAUCGUAGGACUUCAUCGCAGAAGAGGAUCAUCCUGGCAUUUCACCGCAGAAGAGGAUCAUCGGUGUGGGAUUUCAUCGCAGAAGAUCGUCGUGGGACUCUAUCGCAGAAGAGGAUCGUCGUAGGAUUCCGCCGCAGAAGAGGAUCAUCGUGGGAUUCCAUCGUAGAAGAGAAUCGUCGCAGGACUCCGUCGCAGAAGAGAAUCGUUCUAGAAGAACUACAUCGCAAAAAAAACUGCGUUUUCAUAGAUGAAAAUCAGACAAUUUUAUCACAAAAUAUUACCAUAGUACCUUCAUCGAGGAUCAUUGCAGAAGAGAAUUGUCGUGAGACUACGUAGUAGAAGAAAAUUCUCAUGUGGUUUCGUCGCAGGAGAGGAUUGUCUUGGGACUUCAUCGCAGAAGAGGAUCAUCGUAGGACUUCAUCGCAGAAGAGGAUCAUCGUAGGACUUCAUCGCAGAAGAGGAUCAUCAUAGGAUGACAUCGCAGAAGAGAAAAUCAUCGAGGGACUUCGUAACAGAAGAAAACUCUCAUGUGAUGAAAGCAGAAUCAUUAGAGGAACUUUGUUGUAGAAAGCAUCAUUGCGUGGCUUUGCUGCAGAAGAAAAUUGUCGAGUGGCUUGCGAGAUUCUGUAGAAGAGGAUCGUCGCGGGACUUUAUGGUGGAUAAGAAACAGAUAUCUAAUAUGAAAUUUUCUUAAAAAUAAAUGUCACUGGAAAAUUUACAUUAUUUUAACAUUAUAAAGCUCACAUUUGUCGUAUACAUUAAAUAUAGUUGAAAUUAGAUCUCCAAAAUGUACAAAGAGAACAUGAAUUUUUCAUAUUAGAGUUUCAUAUAAAUUAUGAAUUUAAACCUUAAUUAUAAUAGAAGUAACGUCAUUAAACUUGAAUCGAAGAGCAUCACAAUAUUUCAUAUUCAAUUAUCCACAUUAUGAGAUUUAUAUCUGAAUUUCUUAAAUAUUAUAAUAUACUCGGAAUAUAUUCAUAAUAUACUCGGAAUUUUGUCAAUAUGUGAGUUUUCUGAAUCUUAUACAUCGUGGGAUCUGAAUCUUCGACGUCAUGGAACCUGGAUCUUUAACAUCGUGGGACCUGGACCUUCCGACAUCGUGGGACCCUGGACUUUCCGACAUCGUGGGACCCUGGACCUUCCGACAUCGUGGGACCCUGGACCUUCCGACAUCGUGGGACCCUGGACCUUCCGACAUCGUGGGACCCUGGACCUCCCGACAUCGUGGGACCCUGGACCUUCCGACAUCGUGGGACCCUGGACCUUCCGACAUCGUGGGACCUGGAUCUUCCGAUAUCAUGGAAUCUGGAUUUUCAACAUGGUGGGACUUGAAUCUUCGACAACGUGGGAUCUGGAUUUU